rnacentral:rRNA from 1 species
UACGGAAGGCAGCAGUGGGGAAUAUUGCACAAUGGGCGAAAGCCUGAUGCAGCUAUGCCGCGUGUAUGAAGAAGGCCUUAGGGUUGUAAAGUACUUUCAUCGGGGAGGAAAAACAAAACUAAUAAUUUUAUUUCUUGACGUUACCCGAAAAAGAAGCACCGGCUAACUCCGUGCCAGCAGCCGCGGUAAUACGGAGGGUGCUAGCGUUAAUCAGAAUUACUGGGCGUAAAGAGCACGUAGGUGGUUUUUUUAAGUCAGAUGUGAAAUCCCUGGGCUUAACCUAGGAACUGCAUUUUGAAACUGAAAUACUAGAGUAUCGUAGAGGGAGGUAGAAUUCUAGGUGUAGCGGUGAAAUGCGUAGAUAUCUGGAGGAAUACCUGUGGCGAAAGCGGCCUCCUAAACGAAUACUGACACUGAGGUGCGAAAGCGUGAGGAGCAAACAGGGAUUAGAUACC